rnacentral:rRNA from 1 species
CGCUAGAUGAGUGCUAGGUGUUGGAGGGUUUCCGCCCUUCAGUGCCGGAGCUAACGCAUUAAGCACUCCGCCUGGGGAGUACGACCGCAAGGUUGAAACUCAAAGGAAUUGACGGGGGCCCGCACAAGCGGUGGAGCAUGUGGUUUAAUUCGAAGCUACGCGAAGAACCUUACCAGGUCUUGACAUCUUGCGCCAACCCUAGAGAUAGGGCGUUUCCUUCGGGAACGCAAUGACAGGUGGUGCAUGGUCGUCGUCAGCUCGUGUCGUGAGAUGUUGGGUUAAGUCCCGCAACGAGCGCAACCCUUGUUACUAGUUGCCAGCAUUAAGUUGGGCACUCUAGUGAGACUGCCGGUGACAAACCGGAGGAAGGUGGGGACGACGUCAGAUCAUCAUGCCCCUUAUGACCUGGGCUACACACGUGCUACAAUGGACGGUACAACGAGUCGCGAACUCGCGAGGGCAAGCAAAUCUCUUAAAACCGUUCUCAGUUCGGACUGCAGGCUGCAACUCGCCUGCACGAAGUCGGAAUCGCUAGUAAUCGCGGAUCAGCAUGCCGCGGUGAAUACGUUCCCGGGCCUUGUACACACCGCCCGUCACACCAUGAGAGUUUGUAACACCCAAAGUCGGUGGGGUAACCUUUUAGGAGCCAGCCGCCUAAGGUGGGACAGAUGAUUAGGGUGAAGUCGUACAAGGGUAACCGA